GCCCCGGCCGCGGGGGUGAGAGGCGGGAGGCGGCGUGGCCGCCGCAGCGCCAGGUGAGGCCCGCGAGCCCCGCCCCGCGCCGGGGCCAGAUGGGGAAACUGAGGCCCAACAGAUGGCCGAGCCUGGGGUUAGUUACGUGAGGCACUGAGGAACUGCAAAGAGGAGACCUUUGCAGGAGACUGCGUCUGGAGCCAGUUAGCCCCGCCAAAAGCUUUCAGAAAUUACAAGGCCACAAAAAUGCUUUUUGGCUUGAAGCAUCCAAAUGGGCCCCACCCAUCUUGCUUAGAGUCGGGCCUCCUUCUUCUCACUACUGGACCCUGUGUUGCCAGCCUGGGCUGGACUUGAAAAUGAAAGAGGCCCAGGAGAUGAGAGCCUUUCCUGGGGGUUGGGAAGUAAGUAAAAAAACCACAUUUAAGGGAGUGAGAAAAACUCCCUAAACUGUUCUUAAGAAAUGCUUGAUGAAGAAGAGAACUGGAGACAUAACUUUGUUGUCAACCAUUAGGUUUGAUGUUUGCGUUGUUGAGUGGUGACAUUUUGUGGGUUUUUCAAGGACAAAGCCAAAGUCUUUCCCUUUUAAGGCCUUGUUUCAUCUAGGGCAAAACUCUGAUUAUCAUCCAGAUCAAUUCCUUUUUGCAAACAUCUCAAGUAUCUAAUAUGUACUGAACAUUGGAUAAGCCACUUGGAGUACACAGAUAACUAAGGGAUGUCUACAAUGGUAGGGGAAAUAGGUAAGUAUAAGCCAGAUGAACUAGUUGCAAGGGGUUGAAAACUAGCUGAAGCUAGUAAGGGUGUCUGGCUUCAAACACUGCUGGAUCCAGGAGCUCAGAGAGAUAGUUAUCACAUAAUCACACUAAAGGGGUGACACUCUCAGAUGUGAUCACUUGGGCUGCAGGAUGGGGAAUAGACUGGGACAAGAGUAGAAGCUGGAAGGCCAGUUUCAAAGGGAGGCCACUACAGUGGUCCAGGGAGAAACACAUGGUGGCUUGAGCUAGGUGUGAAGCUAGAAAUAAGUGAAUGGAUAUGGGAAACAGAGAUGAGAAAAAGUGCAAACACUUGGUAGUGGAGGAUGGCAGGUGCAGGGGUAAGGAAUAGGGAAGUACCAAGAGUAAUUUGUAAGUUCCUGACUACCCAUCUGGCUAGCUGGCUGAGAUAGGUUAUUUCUCUUACCUUAGCCAAGAGAGAUGGGUAUAAAAAUUCUGAAUUAGAAAUCACAGUCUUUUCUUUUUCUUCACUGUUGUAAUAUAACUGACAAAUAAAAAUGUAAUAUAUUUAAAACAUACAAUGUGAUGAUUUGAUACAUGGACACAUUGUGAAAGGAUCCCCACUACUGAGUUAAUAAGCACAUUCAUCACCUCAUGUAUUCCCCCCCCCUUUUUUUUUGUGGUGAGAACUCUUAAGUUCUACUCUCUUAGUAAAUUUCAAUUAUACAACAGAGCAUUAUCAAAUAUAGUCACUGUGUCAUAUGUUAAAUCCUCAGACCUGAUUCAUCUCAUAACUGAAAGUUUGUAACUUUUUAGCCAGUGUCUCUAUUUUCCCCACCCCAACCCCUGGCAACCACCAUUUUAUCCAAUAUGGGUUCAACUGUUUUUAAUUAAAAAGAUUUCUUUAGAUUCUGCAUAUUAAGUGAGAUCAUGCAGUACUUGUCUUUGUCUGGAUUCUUUCACUUAGCAGAAUGCUUUCCAGGUUCAUCCAUGUGAUUGUAAAUGGCAGGAUU
rnacentral:lncRNA from 1 species